rnacentral:tRNA from 1 species
GCCUGGGUGGCUCAGUCGUCGGGUAAAGUGUCUGACUUCGGCUCAGGUCAUGAUCUCGUGGUCUGUGGGUUCAAGCCCCACAUCAGGCU